rnacentral:rRNA from 1 species
AUUGAACGCUGGCGGCAUGCCUUACACAUGCAAGUCGAACGGUAACAGGUCUUCGGAUGCUGACGAGUGGCGAACGGGUGAGUAAUACAUCGGAACGUGCCCGAGAGUGGGGGAUAACGAGGCGAAAGCUUUGCUAAUACCGCAUACGAUCUCAGGAUGAAAGCAGGGGACCGCAAGGCCUUGCGCUCACGGAGCGGCCGAUGGCAGAUUAGGUAGUUGGUGGGAUAAAAGCUUACCAAGCCGACGAUCUGUAGCUGGUCUGAGAGGACGACCAGCCACACUGGGACGGAGACACGGCCCAGACUCCUACGGGAGGCAGCAGUGGGGAAUUUUGGACAAUGGGCGCAAGCCUGAUCCAGCAAUGCCGCGUGCAGGAAGAAGGCCUUCGGGUUGUAAACUGCUUUUGUACGGAACGAAACGGUCCGGGUUAAUACCCUGGGCUAAUGACGGUACCGUAAGAAUAAGCACCGGCUAACUACGUGCCAGCCGCCGCCGUAAAAC